AUUGAACGCUGGCGGCAGGCCUAACACGUGCAAGUCGAGCGGGGUUUUCGGACCUAGCGGCGGACGGGUGAGUAAUGCGUAGGAAGCUACCCGAUAGAGGGGGAUACCAGUUGGAAACGACUGUUAAUACCGCAUAAUGUCUACGGACCAAAGUGUGGGACCUUCGGGCCACAUGCUAUCGGAUGCGCCUACGUGGGAUUAGCUAGUUGGUGGGGUAAUGGCUCACCAAGGCGACGAUCCCUAGCUGGUUUGAGGGGAUGCUCAGCCACACUGGAACUGAGACACGGUCCAGACUCCUACGGGAGGCAGCAGUGGGGAAUAUUGGACAAUGGGCGCAAGCCUGAGCCAGCCAUGCCGCGUGUGUGAAGAAGGCCUUCGGGUUGUAAAGCACUUUCAGUAGGGAGGAAGGGGGUUGUGUUAAUAGCACAGCAUUUUGACGUUACCUACAGAAGAAGCACCGGCUAACUCUGUGCCAGCCGCCGCAGUAACAC
rnacentral:rRNA from 1 species